GAUGAAGAACGUAGCGAAAUGCGAUAAGUAAUGCGAAUUGCAGAAUUCAGUGAAUCAUCGAAUCUUUGAACGCACAUUGCGCCCGCCAGUAUUCUGGCGGGCAUGCCUGUCUGAGCGUCGUUUCGACCCUCGCGCCCGGCUUCUGUCGGGGGCGGUGUUGGGGAUCGGCCACACCCUUCAGUGGGAGGCCGGCCCCUUAAUUCAGUGGCGACCACGCUGUAGCCUCCCCUGCGUAGUACUAAAACCACCUCGCAGGCGGAGAGCGGUGCGGCCCGCCGUAAAACCCCCAACUUUUACAAGGUCGACCUCAGAUCAGGUAGGAAUACCCGCUGAACUUAAGCAUAUCAAUAAGCGGAGGA
rnacentral:misc_RNA from 1 species